AUGGCCUGGACCCCUCUCCUCCUCCAGCUUCUCACCCUCUGCUCAGGGUCCUGGGCACAGUCUGCGCUGACCCAGGAAGCCUCGGUGUCAGGGACCGUGGGACAGAAGGUCACCCUCUCCUGUACUGGAAACAGCAACAACGUUGGAAGUUAUGCUGUGGGCUGGUACCAACAGAUUUCUCACGGUGCUCCCAAAACUGUGAUGUUUGGAAAUUCUCUGCCCUCAGGGAUCCCUGACCGCUUCUCUGGCUCAAAGUCUGGGACCACAGCCUCCCUGACUAUCUCGGGCCUCUAGCCUGAGGACGAGGCUGAUUAUUACUGUUCAACAUGGGACUACAGCCUCAGUGCUCACACAGUGCUGCAGGCACAUGGGGAACCGAGACAAAAACCU
rnacentral:lncRNA from 1 species